rnacentral:rRNA from 1 species
UACGUAGGGGGCAAGCGUUGUCCGGAAUCAUUGGGCGUAAAGCGCGUGUAGGCGGCCCGGUAAGUCCGCUGUGAAAGUCGGGGGCUCAACCCUCGGAUGCCGAUCGAUACUGUCGGGCUAGAGUCCGGAAGAGGCGAGUGGAAUUCCUGGUGUAGCGGUGAAAUGCGCAGAUAUCAGGAGGAACACCAAUGGCGAAGGCAGCUCGCUGGGACGGUACUGACGCUGAGGCGCGAAAGCGUGGGGAGCAAACAGG